rnacentral:lncRNA from 1 species
GAGUGCCUCAGGCACCUCCUAGAGAAGGUUCAAGCUUAGUCCCCAGCUGGAGGUAAGGUGUGGUUCUCAGUCCUUUUCAUUUCCCCAAUCCUGCUCCUGAGUACUGCAGUUGAGUCAGCCUGGGAUAAUGAGCAGUUUGCCUUUCAUUGAACACUCAACAGCCUGGUUGUGAAAAUGUCUGCUAUGACCAGUCUUUGCCAAUCUCCCAUGUAUGCUUCUGGGUUCUGCAGAUAAUACUUGUGUCUCUUCCCCCACUCUUGUACCUGACACACAUGUUCUACGUGAUGUGAAAAGAAGAGAAGUUGAACAGGCAAUUGGGAGAACUCGAAGUUGCCCAAAUUGAUGAUGUCAGUGUGGAGAUGCACUUGCAGGGAAUUGAAAUAAAGAAGUUCAAGUGUGGCCUUGAGAAACAUGGAAGGGUGAGAAUCCCAGGGAGCUUGCUGCGAACGUGUACCAUUGGUGUCAUCUUCAGGCCUCUGUUUGAGGUGGCCUUCCUGAUGAUCCCGUGGUCUGUCUAUGGAUUCAGCCUAAGUGUGGUUUACACUUGCAAACGAGAUCUUUCCCCACAUUAAGUGGACUGCUUACUCUCUCGCCCCCGGAGAAAAGCACCUUCAUCAUCUUCAUGCUGGUGGUGUCCUUGGUGUCUCUUGCCUUGAACAUCAUUGCGUUAUUCAGUGUCUCAUUUAAGAGCAUUUAAGGAUCAUGUGAAGGAUCAGGAGAGUGAUACACCUGGCCUGCAGAGUCCCUCCAAUGGCUCCAUAUCAACUCUUCCUCUCUCCACCAUGUCCCCUCCUGGGGACAAGCUAGUUCCUGGAGAAAGAAACAAUUCCUCUUGCUGUAGGCACAACAAGGAAGUGAGCAAAAACCCUUCUAGUUACAGUGCAUAGCAAGAUUGAAUGGAGCAGGCAGGAAGUACCCCCUCUGACUCCCAGUCUUUUGAUUUCCCUGCUGAUAAACAGAGUUCUUAAACAAAAGCAAAAACCUAGCUACUGGGCACUAGCCAUGGUAGGCCAGCAGCCAUCCUGCAGAGCCAGUAGUCAUG